CGGGAUUCUAAUCAUUCUAUAUUACCUUUUAUUAACCAGAUAAAAAAAUUAAAAAUCAGCCACUAAAUUGUAGCAAAAGUAAAUCACAAACACAAUAUUCAAUAAACCACUAAAAUACAGUGGAACAGAUUUAUGAAAUACAACCAAUGGAUAUGGAGUCAUUAAAAAAAAGCUUACAUAAUCAUGCAAGAAUACUAGUAUAGUAUACAUAACUUACAGUAGGGGCCCAAUAACAUGGUUUGUACCCAGGGCCCAAAAUGUGGUGUUCCGCCCCUGAUGACAGAUAUGUGAUAACACUAAUAGAUAACGUGUGAAGUUAUUAUUAAGAGUCGAGGUGAUGAUGAUGAUGAUGCGCGCUCACACGCGCCGUCCGGAUGCUGCUCGUCCACACAGCUGCCAAUACGCGUUCAUCUCUUCUGCUCCACUUCACGGUAACGAGGUCGAUUUUUUAUUUUUUUCCAUUUCCCCCUUCCCUCUCUCUCCCCCCCUACGCACGCGCACGCCGUCACGCACGCAUGCAGUCGUCGGGGGGACGCGGACAGCGGUGUGCGCGCCUGGAGAUGAUAUCGCUGUGGCUGCUGUGCUGGAGGCUGCUGGUAGGUGACGCGUGCGCGCGCUGCAUGUGGCUGCGUGCAACAGACACUCUGUGCAUGCGUGCGUUACAUGACGGAGGACAGAAGAGCAGCAGACGGAGAUACUGAGUCAAGAUGCAUCCAUCACUGCAGAGCAGCAUGUGACGCAUGCACCGCUGCACACCAACAGCUGAUCAGCUCUGCGACGCACCCCCUUCCAGGACGAGGAGAGGACGGCACAGAUAAAAUAGAGUUACCGCCGGCCUGAGGAGAGCUACACCUCAGCUAACCCUUGGUAACCACGGCAACGAGAGCGGAGUUGACCCCCCCUCCCCUCGACAACCAUUGGAUGUGGACACCAUGGAGACCAGUUCAUCCGUUCAACUAGCAGAGCUGGAGAACGACGGCCCGUUCUGCUUUAACGACAAUGACGAGGAAGAUGCUCAUCGUUCAGAAGUUAGAAAAGAAGAAGAAGAGGACGCAAAGUGUGAAGAAGAGAGAUGCGAUUACAUUGUGUUUGAUAUUGGAAAGGCAAAAGAAAAUGAGGAAAAGGAGGGAAACACUGAAGACAGAGAGGCGGAAGAAGAAGAAGCUUGGAAAAAAGAAGGGCUGAAAGUAGAAAAGAACAAAGAUGUUCUCUCCAAUGUGCUGUUAGUCAGUGAAGCUCCAUCAGAGCUUAAAUGUGACACUUCAGACUCCUCCUAUGAGCCCUGGAGCAACAUAUUCCACCAAACCGAAGACCUGAGUGACUGUCACCAAGCUAAACUCACCAUGGUGGACUCGGACAGUGACUCCAGGAGCCAGGACGAGGGAGAGGAAGUAGUGUGUACUAACAACACUGGAAGACAAGAAGAUUACCUGGAAGAAGAGGAGGAGAAGGUGAGAGGAGAAGAAGAAGAUCAGAAGUUGAGUGAGAGGACCAUGGGUCGGGAGGAGGACGAGGAACAGAUGGAGACCGGGAUAGACCUUCAACCUUUAGAAAGCUUCUGCUCAAACAAGAUGGACACAGAAAAACAGGUUCCUGAUGAUUGCCAUGUGCAGGAGCAGACAAACAAUGGAAAUGUCUUCACUGAGCAUGUGGACUUCCUGGUCGCUCGUCAACAGUGGAAAAAAAUGGAGGAGGAGGUCAAGAAUCACCCCGUCCCCAAACCAGUAACCACACCUCAAACCAGCUUCCAGGGAACUCACUCCUCCCUGUAUCCCCCAACUCGUAGCCCACGACUCAAACACAGGGAAAUCCCUCCACCCGUCAGAAGGGAGCCUCCUCUAUGCUCCACCCUGUCCCCAAGCUCAGAGGACUCCGGGCUGGACGACUCGUCGUUCCGAAGCUCUGUGGAGGAUCCCGAGACUUCUGUGGAGAAAGAGAUCCGCCUGACACUAGAGAGGGAAGAGCGCCAUCGCAAGGAGAGGGAGAAGAUUUCUCAGGGCCUGAGUCUACCAAGACCUUCCAUCCUUCAGACUGGACGAUCUCCACCCAGACCUCCAGCCUGUCGCACUCCCACCCUGUCGGUGUCCCCGUUCCCUUCUCCCUCCUCCACCCUCCCUCGAUCCAUUUACCAUGAAAUGACAGCCAACAACGUCAUCAUCCUGGAGCCCGACUCCUCUGGCUCCACCUCCAGGAACCGCCUGGUCUCUUCAGCCAUCAGCGGCCUCUCGGAUUGGUCCGCAGACCAGGGUGUGGCACCCUCUACUAACGUGAUUGUGGUGGAAACCUCCAACCUGAUCAUCCGCAGUGCCUCUGAGUUUUGCCUGAGCUCCAGCCUGAUGCCAGCCCAGACCCAGGAGAGCACCUUCACCUCCAACCCCUUCUUCAAGCUGCGCUCACUCAGCAGCCAGUCACUGGUCGAGCAGGAGAUCAGGAUGGUGAAGCAGAGAGAGGAGGAGUGGAGGAGGCAGAGGGAGGAGCAGUGGAGGAGAGGCAGAGAGAGAUUCAAUACCAUACUGGUGUCCCCAGGCCUCAAUGACAACAUUACUUACAACGUGCUGGAGGUUCCUGACAGAUGUGUCUCCUCUCCGUCAUCGCCCUCCAGGACCCGCAAAAUGGACCGAUCCACUUUGUCAUGUGACCACAAGCUCCACCCGUCUCCACCUCAGAACAGCCUGGCACAGCGAUGGGAGGCCUCCUUGUUAGCGAAUCAGAGGAAGGAGUAAACGAUUACAGCAGCAUUACGCUUCCAUCUCUGCUGGAGCUGAUGAAGAAGAAGGAGGAGGAGGAGUCAGUCAGUCAGGUGUGACGAUGACAAUCAUGAUCCACGAAUGAUGUCUGACAUCAGAAGACACGCAGGAUGUACUAGUGAUGUCACUAAUAAGAUAGUAAUAAUAAUAUUAAUAAUGAGAAUAAUAAUGACUACGACAGCAAACACUCCCAAUUAAUUUUAAAUGUAUUUAUUAUGUUUUAACGACCCACACAGACAUUACUCUUGAUUGGCUCAUUUGACGUCAUGUCCCACCCCCUACUUCAAAAUUAUCUGCUGAUUGGACCAAAUUAUUUCCGAUUAAUUUUUAAUUAAUUAAGAGGUAUUUUUUUAAUCAUGUUUUCAAUUUUUGGGAUGAAACUUAUUUAUUUGUAUUUAGUCUGUUUUUUAUUCUUCUGACAAGAAAUUAUUUAGUAUUAGCCUAAUUUUAUUAUGACCAUAUUAUUGUUUCAAUUGGUAUAAAUCUCAUUUCCUUUGACAACAUUUAAAAGUAUUUUAGUUGACUAAAAAUGCUUCUACUUCCAUUUAAGUGGUAUCUAAACCUUCCUCAUGGCGAAUACUUCUGAUGGAUUAAAAUCCUACCCUCCCGUACCAUAAAAUUGGACACCAAUCAGAUGAGAUUUAUUUUAGUUAGUCUUUUAUAAGUAUAAGACAAGAAAAACACACAAAAUAGCAGAUAUUUGCAAUUCUCACUGUACAUUUUUUAUUCCUAUCAGAUUCAGUUAUUUUCACUGAGAAGAAAUGCAAUUUUGUUUUUUCAUUUUCGUUUGGAUUAAGUUAAAAUUCUUUUUGAAUGACUAUUUUUUUUAAUUUUAGCCAUGACAUAAUUCAUUCAUUUGUUUUUAGAUUCUGGUUUUUAAAAAAAUGCUAAACACAAAUUUUGUUUUUCCAUGAUGAUUUGUUUGUGAUGAAAUGUCAUUCUGUCAUCAAAGAUAUUUAUUAUGUGCAGGAACGGGUUAUUCUAUAUAUAAAACAAUGUAAAGAUAAAAGAACUAUAUCUAAUCUAAACAUAUUUUUAUUAAAGCAGAAUUAGACACUUUUUAAUUAUAUUUUGGGAUGCUGAUAAAGUAAUAAGAGGGCUGGAAUUAUUGGAUACAUCUUCAAUUACAAUGAAUAUUUAUUUUUAAGAUAAUGAUUAUAAUAGUGAUAAUUGUAAUUUAAUAUUUAUAUAUUUUUACCAUCUUAUGUAAUUAUGAUCAUUAUCAUAUAUGCUAUUAUUAUUAUUUAAUGAACAUUUAGUUAUAAUAUUGAUGGUUAAAUGCAUUAGAUUUUUAUCUAUAUUGUCCUCCCAUCAGUCACUCUCUAGUCUGUCCGUCUUUCUGUGUUUUCUGCUUUUAACACAUCCAGAUAGAAGUCUGUGUAAUGGCUGAUCUGUCCAGAGUUAUUCUGCAGAUAAACACAUGUUUGUAUUUAUUUAUAUGUAGUCAUGAAGCCAACCUUUCCCCUCAGGUGUGUGAAUCUCUUCCCACUGCCUACUCUUUACUGUGUGUGUACGGCUGUGAGCGAAAAUGAUCUUUGGAAUAAAGCUAGUGUUGAUUGUGAGCUACA
ensembl:lncRNA FK506-binding protein 5-like